AACGAACGCUGGCGGCAGGCUUAACACAUGCAAGUCGAACGCCCCGCAAGGGGAGUGGCAGACGGGUGAGUAACGCGUGGGAACAUACCCUUUUCUACGGAAUAGCUCUGGGAAACUGGAAUUAAUACCGUAUACGCCCUACGGGGGAAAGAUUUAUCGGGGAAGGAUUGGCCCGCGUUGGAUUAGCUAGUUGGUGGGGUAAAGGCCUACCAAGGCGACGAUCCAUAGCUGGUCUGAGAGGAUGAUCAGCCACAUUGGGACUGAGACACGGCCCAAACUCCUACGGGAGGCAGCAGUGGGGAAUAUUGGACAAUGGGCGCAAGCCUGAUCCAGCCAUGCCGCGUGAGUGAUGAAGGCCUUAGGGUUGUAAAGCUCUUUCACCGAUGAAGAUAAGGACGGUAGUCGGAGAAGAAACCCCGGCUAACUUCGU
rnacentral:rRNA from 1 species